CCCCCCUUGACUUUGCUUAUCGGUGAAGGCUGACCCUCAAAUCCAGGAG
rnacentral:rRNA from 1 species